AUCUCUUCAGAAUGGACAGAGGAGCACAUUUAGCCCUCAUUCGGGUAUUGCUGAAACAGUACGUGAAGUGACUAUUUUCUAGAUAAACCAUAAAAACUGAAGAGUGUUGCUGCUCUAGAUGAAGUCAUCAUGUAAGAGAGAAAUGAGACUCUAAAAUAGGAGUGAUGGACAUAUAUGGAGAAUAUUUAAAUUAAAGAAGCAGUACAAGUAAAAG